UGGGGGAUAUUGCACAAUGGGCGAAAGCCUGAUGCAGCGACGCCGCGUGGGGGAUGAAGGCCUUCGGGUUGUAAACUUCUUUUGCUCUGAACAAGGCGCACCAUGGGGUGUGUUGAGUGUAGGGGUUGAUUAGCGCCGGCUAACUACGUGCCAGCAGCCGCGGUAAUACGUAGGGCGCGAGCGUUGUCCGGAAUUAUUGGGCGUAAAGGGCUUGUAGGUGGCUGGUUGCGUCUGUCGUGAAAGCUCAUGGCUUAACUGUGGGUUUGCGGUGGGUACGGGCUGGCUUGAGUGCAGUAGGGGAGGCUGGAAUUCCUGGUGUAGCGGUGGAAUGCGCAGACAUCAGGAGGAAUACCGGUGGCGAAGGCGGGUCUCUGGGCUGUUACUGACACUGAGGAGCGAAAGCAUGGGGAGCGAACAGG
rnacentral:rRNA from 1 species